UCAAAUGUUAUAAUCCAUUUGUCACUCAAGG
rnacentral:piRNA from 1 species